GACGAACGCUGGCGGCGUGCUUAACACAUGCAAGUCGAGCGGAAAGGCCACUUCGGUGGUACUCGAGCGGCGAACGGGUGAGUAACACGUGAGUAAUCUGCCCUUGGCUUUGGGAUAGCCACCGGAAACGGUGAUUAAUACCGGAUAUGACCACUUCACGCAUGUGAUGGUGGUGGAAAGUUUUUCGGCCAGGGAUGUGCUUGCGGCCUAUCAGCUUGAUGGUGAGGUAAUUGCUGACUAUGGCUUCGAGGGGUAACCGGCCUGAGAGGGUGACAGGUCACACUGGGACUGAGACACGGCCCAGACUCCUACGGGAGGGAGCAGUGGGGAAUAUUGGACAAUGGGCGGAAGCCUGAUCCAGCAACGCCGCGUGAGGGAUGACGGCCUUCGGGUUGUAAACCUCUUUCGCCUAUGACGAAGCGCAAGUGACGGUAAUAGGUAAAGAAGCACCGGCCAACUACGUGCCAGCAGCCGCCGUAACAC
rnacentral:rRNA from 1 species